rnacentral:rRNA from 1 species
UAGCGAAGGGGGCUAGCGUUGCGUCGGAAUCACUUGGGCGUAAAGGGUGCGUAAGGCGGGUCUUUAAGUCAGGGGUGAAAAUCCUGGAGCUCAACUCCAGAACUGCCUUUGAUAACUGAGGAUCUUGAGUUCGGGAGAGGUGAGUGGAACUAGCGAGUGUAGAGGUGAAAUUCGUAGAUAUCGGGAGGAACACCGGUGGC